GAGUUAGCCGGUGCUUCCUUCAGAGGUACCGUCAUUUGUUUCUUCCCUCUUGACAGGGCUUUACGACUCGAAAGCCUUCAUCACCCACGCGGCGUUGCUGCGUCAGACUUUCGUCCAUUGCGCAAGAUUCCCC
rnacentral:rRNA from 1 species